ensembl:lncRNA
CUCACUUACUGGCUGAUUGGGACGUGAGAGAGCGUUGCGUUGCGUUUGAUUGACAGCUCCACUCUCCCGUGACGAGUCGCCGUACAGCGUCAAGAUCCUUUUUUACUUCCAAAGACGCCUUUGUUCCUCCUCCUAUUCGCCUUCAAAGAUGUGGCCCCAAUUGCGUCAGGCGGGGACCCGGAAAACGGCCAAGCCGUCUGCGACUCACCGAGCCGCGAGGCCGAUCAAGGCGGCCGGCGACUUGGCGAGGCCGCGUCGGUCGCUGUCGCCAGAUGCGUCGACUCGAGCGAGGUCAAUCAGGGUUCAAGCGCCGUUCGAUCCCCGGAGAAGAGGAAAUCGUGAACAAAGAGACCCAAACAUCUAUUUGCUGGGCUAUUGAGAGUUUGCAGGGACAUGGCGACUGUUCAUGAAGAAGUAAUAUCACUUCACCGCGCGGUUGGAUCAUUCCGGUUUGCCCAGAGAAAUCGUAACUCAAUUACAGGGAGAGAGAGCUGUUGGAUGAAAACCAUCUGGACGGUGAUUUAAUGACCGGAGCAUUGUUUCCUGUUUUGUUAUGGACGACGAGACACAGACAGAUGUGCUGUCACAACCAGUGAGUGAUUUCAGCAGCUCCAUAUCCGAUAACGUGAUAGGCUGGAAACAUACAUGGGACAUAAAUACAGUAUACAAGUAAAAAAAAAAAAUGAAAUGAAAGACUGGAUACAUUUGUUAAUAAAACAUCCUUCAGAUCCACUUGUUGCAUGUGGAUAGUUUUUUUUUUUUUCUUUUUCUUGCAACAUGGCGCCAUUAAAUCCGUCAAAUGUGUUUAUUUAUCAAAGGCAAACAAAAGUACUGAUGCAAAUCUUAGUGGAUGAAGGAAACGCUGUUUUAUAAGCAAAAUAAAAUUUAAGCUGAGACCCUUCUUGUCCACUCAUCUUGGAGUCCCGUCACUGGAUUCCCGGUUCCAGCCCCCCGAAGGCCUCCUUCACUGGGCCGUAACUUCUCCUCCUGACAGGAUGGCUCUCGCUAAUAGUAAUGUGAUCAGUCAGUGCACGGAGGACACUGAGGCGUCCGUCCCCUGUCCCGAGUGAGACGUCAUAUCGCACACAGUCGCU